rnacentral:rRNA from 1 species
CUGUGAAACAAGAUACAGGCUAGCGGCGGACGGGUGAGUAACACGUGGGUAACCUGCCCAAGAGAUCGGGAUAACACCUGGAAACAGAUGCUAAUACCGGAUAACAACAGAUGAUGCCUAUCAACUGUUUAAAAGAUGGUUCUGCUAUCACUCUUGGAUGGACCUGCGGUGCAUUAGCUAGUUGGUAGGGUAACGGCCUACCAAGGCGAUGAUGCAUAGCCGAGUUGAGAGACUGAUCGGCCACAUUGGGACUGAGACACGGCCCAAACUCCUGCGGGAGGCAGCAGUAGGGAAUCUUCCACAAUGGACGCAAGUCUGAUGGAGCAACGCCGCGUGAGUGAAGAAGGGUUUCGGCUCGUAAAGCUCUGUUGUUGGUGAAGAAGGACAGGGGUAGUAACUGACCUUUGUUUGACGGU